AUUCUCUUUUUGGGGAGGAAGGGCUUGGCUCAGUGUUGCAUGGGGGUUUUAUGUAAGCAAUGAAAUAAGAUCACAAAAAACUGCUGAGAAGAGGCAAGACGAGUAGAGAAAGUAGUCCUGUGAUAUAGCCGACAUAAAAAAAAUAAGCUUUUAUCAUACUUGGCCAUAGGAUUUCACAGGUGUUGAUUAACUUUAUUAUUAUUAUGAAUUGAUUUCCAAUGUAGCCACAAACAAACAGUAAAAACUAUAAAAAGUGACAAAUAAAUCAAUGAGAACUCUAAGACAUAGUCCACACAUGGUAGAAUAAUAAAAAAUCUGUCUAAAUGCUGACUGAGUUAGUUGUUGGUGUAUAAAAUAAAUAAGAGUGGAGACAGAACACAGCCCUGAGGAGAGCCCAAACUGGUGGUAGAUCUUCAUAAGACUGUUACCAUUGUACCACGCAUGGACACACUAUGAAAAUCAUUUACCAGAGGUUCAGCCCUAAGGGAAAUGUAUUCUUGGCUCUCUUACUCACAGUCAUGAUGUUCCCAACAGGUCUACAUAAAGUGUGAUAGUGGAAACCCUCUGACUUGGACUUGGUCUGAUCACGUGUUGGUGUCAGGAAGUCUGCAGUCCCCUGGGGGCCAAUCCGUCUUUCAAUGUCCAGAAUGGGCUCAGCCCAGGAAACAAAGGGAGAGGAGAGGUAGAGCACGAGAACGAAGAGCGAGCCGAGGCACGUCGCCAGGAACAGGCGUCCUCCUCUGGGUAUCCUCAUCCUGAAGCCCCGCUCUGCUGGCGGAGCCACCGACCCCUCGCCGCUGCCUCGACACGGUUCAUACGAGACCACCCGGCGGAGGAUGAGAGACUCUCCGAAGAAUUACGAGCCUAUGUAUUAGCUGCUGGAAAAAUAUCAACAGCCCAUCCAGGGAUAACGUUUACUGGCCUUUUGAGCGACACAGUUGUUAACCGUUAACUCUGACUCUGAAGUGGAACAUGGAUCCACCAGCGCACGAUGUGGUCUUUACCCGGUUUUUAAAAUAUGGUUAACUCAGUAAUGAUGACAAAUCAAACAAGGUCACCUUGGACAAAACAUUAAAGAAUGUUACAAUGACAAGUCUUAACGCAGAAUAAAAAGUUAUGAACAGGCAGCUUUGUUUCGCUUUAGCUCCACUUGUAACCCACACCACCGGUGUCUGCAGUUUGUCGGAGCUACAGAAACUUCUGCUCCGCCAAACAAGGACGGGGCACCGUGCCAUGACGUCACACCCACUCCUCUCUCGCGCCCUCUGCCAGAGUCAUCGGCUGCUGUGCUGCCUUCAGGUAAUGCUGGACAUUUUUAAGCCUGACUGAGAAAGUUGGUUUCUCCACGUGAAUUAUACUCAGCUGUUUUUGUAGAAAUUGAAUAGUACGAACAACACGUCUCAUCCCCCUGUGGU